AGGUCAAUACUGAGUGGGCAACAAGCGGUUAGUCAGAUGACCAACUGGACACGAGCCGAGUCCACGCCCAGUAUUGCCAGUUCACCGCCCAGUCAGAGACGUGCUGCCAGUUGAUGGUUACUCUGGUACCACUGGCAACUGUUUGCUGGAUGGAGCCUUACAGCUCUGGUGUAAACUGCACCGUGAUGAUACACACCGUGAUGUUCAGCACCUCUGACAGAGACACCAACAGCUGGGCUCGAUGGAGGUGGCUGGUGACAAGGCGCUGCUACUCAGCCAAUGCCUGUGGCCAGAGCCUACAUGUGGCGGCGAG